rnacentral:rRNA from 1 species
GGCGAACGGGUGAGUAAUAUAUCGGAACGUACCCAGGAGUGGGGGAUAACGUAGCGAAAGUUACGCUAAUACCGCAUACGUCCUAAGGGAGAAAGCGGGGGAUCGCAAGACCUCGUGCUCAUGGAGCGGCCGAUAUCUGAUUAGCUAGUUGGUGGGGUAAAAGCCUACCAAGGCAACGAUCAGUAGCUGGUCUGAGAGGACGACCAGCCACACUGGAACUGAGACACGGUCCAGACUCCUACGGGAGGCAGCAGUGGGGAAUUUUGGACAAUGGGGGCAACCCUGAUCCAGCAAUGCCGCGUGAGUGAAGAAGGCCCUCGGGUUGUAAAGCUCUUUUGNCAGGGAAGAAAAGGUUGGGGCUAAUAUCCCGGACUCAUGACGGUACCUGAAGAAUAAGCACCGGCUAACUACGUGCCAGCAGCCGCGGUAAUACGUAGGGUGCAAGCGUUAAUCGGAAUUACUGGGCGUAAAGCGUGCGCAGGCGGUUUUGUAAGACUGUCGUGAAAUCCCCGGGCUUAACCUGGGAAUGGCGAUGGUGACUGCAAGGCUAGAGUUUGGCAGAGGGGGGUAGAAUUCCACGUGUAGCAGUGAAAUGCGUAGAUAUGUGGAGGAACACCGAUGGCGAAGGCAGCCCCCUGGGUCAAAACUGACGCUCAUGCACGAAAGCGUGGGGAGCAAACAGGAUUAGAUACCCUGGUAGUCCACGCCCUAAACGAUGUCUACUAGUUGUCGGGUCUUAAUUGACUUGGUAACGCAGCUAACGCGUGAAGUAGACCGCCUGGGGAGUACGGUCGCAAGAUUAAAACUCAAAGGAAUUGACGGGGACCCGCACAAGCGGUGGAUGAUGUGGAUUAAUUCGAUGCAACGCGAAAAACCUUACCUACCCUUGACAUGGCAGGAAUCCCGGAGAGAUCUGNGAGUGCUCGAAAGAGAACCUGCACACAGGUGCUGCAUGGCUGUCGUCAGCUCGUGUCGUGAGAUGUUGGGUUAAGUCCCGCAACGAGCGCAACCCUUGUCAUUAGUUGCUACGAAAGGGCACUCUAAUGAGACUGCCGGUGACAAACCGGAGGAAGGUGGGGAUGACGUCAAGUCCUCAUGGCCCUUAUGGGUAGGGCUUCACACGUCAUACAAUGGUACAUACAGAGGGCCGCCAACCCGCGAGGGGGAGCUNAUCCCAGAAAGUGUAUCGUAGUCCGGAU